rnacentral:rRNA from 1 species
CAAAUGAAUUGACGGGGGCCCGCACAAGCGGAGGAGCAUGUGGUUUAAUCGAUGAUACGCGAGGAACCUUACCUGGGCUCGAACGUAAGAUGACUGUAGGUGAAAGCUUACAUCUCUUCGGAGCAUUUUACGAGGUGCUGCAUGGUUGUCGUCAGCUCGUGCCGUGAGGUGUCGGGUUAAGUCCCAUAACGAGCGCAACCCUACCUUUAGUUGCCAUCAGGUAAUGCUGGGGACUCUAAAGGAACUGCCUACGCAAGUAGUGAGGAAGGCGGGGAUGACGUCAAAUCAGCACGGCCCUUACGUCCAGGGCUACACACGUGCUACAAUGGCCGAUACAGAGGGCAGCUACCUGGUGACAGGAUGCAAAUCUCCAAAGUCGGUCUCAGUUCGGAUCGGAGUCUGCAACCCGACUCCGUGAAGUUGGAUUCGCUAGUAAUCGCGCAUCAGCCAUGGCGCGGUGAAUACGUUCCCGGGCCUU